AUUGAACGCUGGCGGCAGGCCUAACACAUGCAAGUCGAACGGUAACAGGAAGAAGCUUGCUUCUUUGCUGACGAGUGGCGGACGGGUGAGUAAUGUCUGGGAAACUGCCUGAUGGAGGGGGAUAACUACUGGAAACGGUAGCUAAUACCGCAUAACGUCGCAAGACCAAAAAGGGGGACCUUCGGGCCUCUUGCCAUCGGAUGUGCCCAGAUGGGAUUAGCUAGUAGGUGGGGUAACGGCUCACCUAGGCGACGAUCCCUAGCUGGUCUGAGAGGAUGACCAGCCACACUGGAACUGAGACACGGUCCAGACUCCUACGGGAGGCAGCAGUGGGGAACAUUGCACAAUGGGCGCAAGCCUGAUGCAGCCAUGCCGCGUGUAUGAAGAAGGCCUUCGGGUUGUAAAGUACUUUCAGCGGGGAGGAAGGGAGUAAAGUUAAUACCUUUGCUCAUUGACGUUACCCGCAGAAGAAGCACCGGCUAACUCCGUG
rnacentral:rRNA from 1 species